rnacentral:rRNA from 1 species
AUUGAACGCUGGCGGCGUGCCUAACACAUGCAAGUCGAGCGGUAACAGGUGUAGCAAUACAUGCUGACGAGCGGCGAACGGGUGAGUAAUGCUUCGGAAUCUGCCCAUGUAGUGGGGAAUAACCAGCCGAAAGGUUGGCUAAUACCGCAUACGACCCUUGUCCACAAGGCAAAGGUAGAAAGCAGGGGAGUCGCAAGACCUUGCGCUAUUGGAUGAGCCGAAGUCGGA